GCAGGCGGCCGCGAAUUCACUAGUGAUUACUCCUACGGGAGGCAGCAGUGGGGAAUAUUGCACAAUGGGCGGAAGCCUGAUGCAGCAACGCCGCGUGCGGGAUGACGGCCUUCGGGUUGUAAACCGCUUUCGCCUGUGACGAAGCGUGAGUGACGGUAAUGGGUAAAGAAGCACCGGCUAACUACGUGCCAGCAGCCGCGGUGAUACGUAGGGUGCGAGCGUUGUCCGGAUUUAUCGGGCGUAAAGGGCUCGUAGGUGGUUGAUCGCGUCGGAAGUGUAAUCUUGGGGCUUAACCCUGAGCGUGCUUUCGAUACGGGUUGACUUGAGGAGGGUAGGGGAGAAUGGAAUUCCUGGUGGAGCGGUGGAAUGCGCAGAUAUCAGGAGGAACACCAGUGGCGAAGGCGGUUCUCUGGGCCUUUCCUGACGCUGAGGAGCGAAAGCGUGGGGAGCGAACAGGCUUAGAUACCCUGGUAGUCCACGCUGUAAACGGUGGGUACUAGGUGUGGGGUCCAUUCCACGGGUUCCGUGCCGUAGCUAACGCUUUAAGUACCCCGCCUGGGGAGUACGGCCGCAAGGCUAAAACUCAAAGGAAUUGACGGGGCCCCCCACAAGCGGUGGAGCAUGUGGA
rnacentral:rRNA from 1 species